GACAGAGGCCCCAAGCGUUAGGCGGAAUCGCUGGGCUUAAAGCGUGUGUAGGCGGAUCGUUAAGUGUCUUGUGAAAUCCCACGGCUCACCCGUGGAACUGCUGGGCAUACUGGCGAUCUUGGGCCAACUAGGGGCAGUCGGAACAAGCGGUGGAGCGGUGAAAUGCGUAGAUAUCGCUUGGAACGCCGAAGGUGAAAACAGACUGCUGGGGUUGCGCCGACGCUGAGACACGAAAGCCAGGGGAGCAAACGGG
rnacentral:rRNA from 1 species